GAUGAACGCUAGCUACAGGCUUAACACAUGCAAGUCGCGGGGCAGCAUGUCGGUUGCUUGCAACCGAUGAUGGCGACCGGCGCACGGGUGAGUAACGCGUAUCCAACCUGCCCUUCACCACGGAAUAAUCCAGUGAAAAUUGGUCUAAUACCGUAUGAGGUCAUACGAUGGCAUCAGAAUAUGACGAAAGGUUUGGCGGUGAAGGAUGGGGAUGCGUCUGAUUAGCUUGUUGGUGAGGUAACGGCUCACCAAGGCGACGAUCAGUAGGGGUUCUGAGAGGAAGGUCCCCCACAUUGGAACUGAGACACGGUCCAAACUCCUACGGGAGGCAGCAGUGAGGAAUAUUGGUCAAUGGGCGAGAGCCUGAACCAGCCAAGUAGCGUGCAGGAAGACGGCCCUAUGGGUUGUAAACUGCUUUUAUAAGGGAAUAAAGUGGGUCACGUGUGACUUUUUGCAUGUACCUUAUGAAUAAGGACCGGCUAAUUCCGUGCCAG
rnacentral:rRNA from 1 species